rnacentral:lncRNA from 1 species
UCAAAGCUGUAAUUAAUCCUCUGACUUGCAACUGUGGUGAAUGCUCGUCAGCUGUGUCUAGUGAUAAGGUGCUUCUGCACAGCCAAGGAAUAAGGUCAGUCCUGCUGGGAAGUGAGAUGUGUCCUGAUUGACUGUGGGUGCUUGCUGUAGAUGCUGAGAGGUGCAAAUGCAGUUUUCUGGGUUGAGCUUCAUAGAUCUCUACAAAAAAUUAUCGAGCAGCAAUUCCUGUUGGUGAAAACUGAACUUUGGACAAAAGCAGAGGGAAGGGCUUGUCCUGCCUCUGCAGCCAGGGAGAGACAUGCUGAGCUCUGGGCACAAAGCUGAGAAUGGGACCACAACAAAGGGCUCCUAGCAGACUAUUUGGCACCACCUGCUGUGACAUGGCUAUGGUCAAAACAGGCUUCUAGAAUCACAGAGCUACUUUACAACUGGCUAAGCAUCAUCUGACACAGAUAUGGAUGUGCCAGAGCUUUCAUACAAAACAUGUCUGAUGUGUUGAAGUAGGACUUGGCUCAACAGGAUAUUAGAGAUUCGCUGGUGGAGUGAGUUCUGAGGCAGAUGUGGACUUUUCCCUGGUCCUACUGUGUCCCUUUGCAUCUGCUGAUGCAGAGCAUCCUGUCACUCUGUGCUCAGCCCUUGGCACCAUGGAGCGGUGCAGUGCAGCCCAGCCACACUCAGCUGCCCUGGCAUGAGAGCUACAGCAUCUAUGUCAAGUAAGAAAA